CGGAUUUGAGCUCAACCGCUUAUGCAGCCUUGUCCAGUGUUAAUAAGUUGCCUUGUGUGUCAAGAAAAUGCGCUGCAUGAUGCGAAGCCACAGAAGAUGAUGUCUGAUCUUGAAGACAGAAUAUGCUGCAUUUGCUUUGGAUCCUGCUGAAAUACAAAGAAAGAUGGAAGAGGUGAAUAUUGUUAGUGUGUUUCAUUAAGAAAUAGAGAAAAUAAAAGCUAUGUUGGGGCAGUGGGGGAGAAGAAGGGCUUGAUCAGCGACGAAGAAAGGGAGAAAAUAUUUAUGUUGACUUGGAAAAAUAGUGGGCUGUCAGGAUUAUAGUGCAGAGAGGUUGAGGGAUUCGCUCUCUUAGUUUGGUGAGGUUGGAGAUGUUUGUCAUAAAAAAGGUAAAGAAGAAAAGAGGUUAGGCACUUGUUGCGAUGGCAACUAAAGAUGCAGCUGUAAGUUCAUUGUUCUAAUCGAAGUAUUUGCAGUUUUUACAUGCAUGCACUUUGGAUUCUUGCAAUUACUUAUGUUGGGUUUUUUUUUUUUUUUUGGUUUUUGGACAUUCUGCUGGUGCUAUGGAAAUGUGAAUUGCAAUCUUUUGAAUCUCUUAUAGUUUUUCCUUGUCAAAACGUUGAAGAACAAGGUUUCAUACCUUGGAAUCUGAUGACCUCAGAAAUUUUGCUCUGAUUAAUCAUCAAGAACGUGAAGAUUUCGUCUUAGGGAAGCUCCAUAAGAUUAGUUAGACCUUCAUUUAAUCCCUGUUCCUUAAUACUUAUUGGUCUGUAAAGACAUUCUUAGAUAACAUGGAUGAAGCUUCUAUUUUUCUUGAAUUAUAUGUUUUUGCUCAUGUUUAGAAUUUACGAUCCAUGACAUACAGCGCAAUGUGUUCAAAUUCUUAGAGAACCUCACUCACUCGACUAGGACAGGACUGUCAAUUGGAGUGCUCCUUGGGGUGACUGUUAGCCCUACCGUGGACUGUUUUUCCUUAAUUCUGUGCCCGCAGCUUGCAAGGAAACUACUCAGUAGGUCCUUUAUAAAAUGAAUGACCUUAAUUUUGUUAGACAUACUUGCACUUUCCAUGUCUUACAAACUAUGAGGAGCAUGGAUGUUUCAUUUUUAUGGAAUAGAUGACUAUUUUACUGAUAUUAUGAGUUUCUAUAGGAUAUAAGAAAAUGAUACGAUAAUUUCCCUGUUGUUCUUUAAUUCUUCUCAUGCAUUUGUUUCCUGGUUUGUGUUUCUGAUUUUCAUCUCCUCUUGUAUGCAGUCUGCAGAAAACCAAAAAAUGAAAUGCACAAGUACUAUUCAGGGUAAAUACCAGAACUUUUCUAUUUGUAGUUAAUGGUUUUGAGCCAAGGGCAUUGUCAGAUCUAAAUUUUCUUUGCAAGAAUCUGUUCCUCGAGGCUUAAAAAAGAAACCAACAACUGCAAUUUCAAAUAAGUUAUUCUUACUCUUCUCCACAUCUGAAUUAUUACUAUCCAUGUUCUAUUUGUAUGAAUGAUUGAACUUUGUGAAAAUGGGAAAGUUCCAGAAAGGCGUGGCAGACUGGCUUUAUAGUUUGUUCUGUUUAUUAUACUCCCACGCGGCUCUGCCCAAGGGUAUUAUCUAUAAAACAUACUUUCAAUUGAUUGAAGAACUUGAUGUAUAGCUGUAAAUUUCGCAGGUUAUUUUGGUAGACUGGCAUAUCAUUUCAUUUUUUAUUGUCUGCGAUGCAUUGUAGUAGUUUGCAUCAGGCAACUCCAUUUCUAUUCUCUAAGGUGGGUUUGCAGUAGCAAGAUAUGAAUUUACUAUGCUAGUCUCUUCUCUUAGCUGUUUGCGUAUGGUCUCGCAUAAGUAUUUUAAGAAAGCAAUAUGUUAGCCUUGUCAUUCCCUUCUGCACUUGCAUCCCUCACUGACACUCCAACCAAAGAAUUUCAUUUGCUGGUUUCUGUCUCAUCUGGCAUCAUUAUGCGCAAAAGGCCUUUCAAUUCUCUCCUUGUUGUUUGUAACCAUUUUUUAUUUAAUCUCCAAUACUUGUCGUCUUUGUUUGGUCCUGUAGAAUUAGUCAUCAGGGUGCUGAUUUUAUGAUCCAAUGUGCAGAGAUUAGUUGACAAUAAAAUUUGUAGAGAGCAUGGCUGCAUAUAAAAACCAAAAGAAAGCAGCGAUAAGACUCUCAUAGGACUUGCUUUUGUUAACCUUUAGUGCUUCGAAGUCUCAGUGAUGCGCAAAGAGUUGAAUGAAAUAGCUGGCAUAAACUUUGGUUGCCUUUAUGGUACAGGGGUUCUCUACAUUCCAUGUUUUUCUUUUUCUGUUUCAUCAUUUUCUCUAUACCACCCUGCUGUUAUCGGGUCUUUCUGAUGAGGAUUCGUCAGCUGAAUUAAUUUUUAAUUGAAUCUGAUGUAAGCCCUUUUAGCAAUUAACAUCUCAUGUUCACAUCAUCGCAUUUUGUUAUGAACAGAUCGUGAACAAUAUUUGGUUGCAUGCCAAGCAUGUUAGUUAUCACUCUAGAAGUCUGUCCAAGUUCCAUGAAUGUGGCGGAUGCAUGGCUGAUAUCUAUUUACACUAGCCUCUGAGGUGAAGGGAAGUUCUGGUCU